ACCAUCCGGGCAAUUUAUUUUUACAAUGGACCCCUUCACUCCCAAAGGCAUGAUGCUUGCUCCUUAUGUUUGUGGUGUUCGGUGAUCCACCCUCUUCAUGUGAUAACUAAUCGAAAUCGAUUAGCCGGCUAUGGCCAGGGGCUCUGGGAAUGAUAUGUUUGACAGGUACCAGGUUAUCCAUUUGAACGAGCACCGGGUCCGGAAGCAAACGCACGAGGGUUGCCAAGAAAGCGACAGCAUGCUAUAUCACUGCCAACACAAAUAUACCUGUGCCGAAAGUCAAUGACACAAAAUCGGAUGCGGAGGACAUUGUGAUGGAAUAUGUACUAGGCCGAUCACUAGAAGAUGCAUGGAUGAAGCUUUCUCCGGACCAGAGUGUCUCCACCUGCCACCAACUUGCCCAAUAUCUCUCUUAGCUUCAACAUCUGACAGAAUAACAAAUCAAGGGAGUGAAUGAUACUCCUGCAUGAAUCUGUGGUUAUCAUUCACGCUGGGGUGGACCCUUGGAGACAGAAAAUGAGCUCAACAAUUUUCUGGCUCAUAACGCUUAGGGUACCCAAGGCCCUCAUCUACCCCCAAAUGACAAUCACAUAAUCCAUUUUGCUCACGGCGACCUAAGUCCCCGGAAUAUUCUGGUCGAUGAGAGCGGCCGUAUCACCGCAAUCAUCGACUGGGACAUUCUCCGGAUGCGCAUGGACUUCCCAAGGAAGAGGAAGAUGCCGGAUCAUCCAAGGUACUUCCAGUC
rnacentral:sRNA from 1 species